UUUGAUUACAGCUCAAGCAUCGACGUUGAAAGCUGUAGAGAACCAGAUCGACCAGCUGCAGAAAGACAAUGGAAACACAAGAUGACAAAAAUGUGAAGGAUGUGUACAGCUCCAGUUGAAGGAGUUUACUACUUCCCAUUCAACUGCCUCAAGGGGAAAACCAAUAGCAUGAAUGUGAUGGAGGAUGGCGCAGCUUUUGGCUAAGAUCACAACUCCAGCGAUGACAUGGCGAGCAACGGGUUCAUCGUGUCCAUGAAGGUCGGAAAUCAGGUCUGGAUGACCCUCAUCAGUCACACUCACAUUCUUGGUGAGGAACUAUUGACCACAUUCAAUGGCUUUCUGCUCUUCCCCAUGUGAGUAGAGAGCCGGUGUGAGAAGGCUAUCCAUUUCACCUUGCAUAUGUGUCUUUACAGCCAAUGCAAGAAAAGUCAUCUUUGCAUUAUACAUGAAUAGCUAACGAAUAAUGUCCGUGCUAUAUUGAAUUUACAUUACAUGUGCAAUAUGUAACAACACAUCUUUAUUUUUGUUCUGAUUGAAGAUAAUGUAAAGAAAGCAUUUAUUUGAUCAAACAAAUAAAAUAUAUUCA